rnacentral:rRNA from 1 species
UACGUAGGGUGCGAGCGUUGUCCGGAAUUAUUGGGCGUAAAGGGCUCGUAGGCGGUUUGUCGCGUCGGGAGUGAAAACCCAGGGCUUAACCCUGGGCUGGCUUUCGAUACGGGCAGACUAGAGGUAUGCAGGGGAGAACGGAAUUCCUGGUGUAGCGGUGAAAUGCGCAGAUAUCAGGAGGAACACCGAUGGCGAAGGCAGUUCUCUGGGCCGUAACUGACGCUGAGGAGCGAAAGCGUGGGGAGCGAACAGG